UUCAUUACUGAGGCACACUAAGAUGAUCCAAAGCAGCAAUGACUUCACCACUGCUCACCGUCUUUCUCUUUCUCACAUUAUACAGUCAAGACUCCAGUUGUGAGACUACGGUAAUUCAGACUCCGAAGUCCAAAUCACUCUCUGUGGGAGACAAUGUUGACUUUACAUGUACAACCAGCACUGAUGUGAGUAGUUAUGUAGCCUGGUACCACCAGAGACCUGGAGAAGCUCCUAAGCUCCUGAUCUACCUGGCAGAUAUACUUGCAAGUGACAUCCCUAGUCGCUUCAGUGGCAGCGGAUCAGAGACUGAAUACACACUGACUAUCACUGGAGUCCAGGCUGAGGAUGCAGGACAUUACUACUGUCAACAGUACGAUGAGUUUCCUCUCACACGGUGACAGAGAGCCGUACAAAAACCUCUCUUAACAUCUGAACAGCCUGCAGGUGCUUUACAAAGGCACCAGAGUGGCACUUUAUUAAUACCCUGCUUCUGUACGAUGUUACUGUUAGUCAUAAGGACAUUGAUUCAACUUGUACAGUUCAACUUUUUUAUUUUUAUGGUGGGAUUGUUCUUUUAUA